rnacentral:rRNA from 1 species
GACGAACGCUGGCGGCGUGCUUAACACAUGCAAGUCGAACGAAGUGGCGAACGGGUGAUUAACGCGUAAUCAACCUGCCCUUCAGAGGGGGACAACAGUUGGAAACGACUGCUAAUACCGCAUACUGAAGGAGGGGCUUGCGUCUGAUUAGCUAGUUGGAGGGGUAACGGCCCACCAAGGCGAUGAUCAGUAGGCGGUCGUAGAGGAUGAACGGCCACAUUGGGACUGAGACACGGCCCAGACGCCGACGGGAGACAGCAGUGGGGAAUAUUGGGCAAUGGGCGAAAGCCUGAUCCAGCAAUGCCGCGGGAGUGAUGACGGCCUUCGGGUUGUAAAGCUCUGUUAAUCGGGACGCGGUACCGGAAUAGAAAGCCACGGCUAACUACGUGCCAGCCGCCGCGGUAAUUC